rnacentral:rRNA from 1 species
AUGGACCGUGCCGACCACGCUCGGCGGCAGCGCCACCUCCUCAUCGCCGAGGAGGACGAGCGAGCCAUGGUGGAGUGGCGCCGUCGCUACCCGGAGGACGUCGCCGACGAGCGUGCCUACUGGGCGGAGAGGACGGCAAGGCGCCGCGCGGAGCGGGCGGACCGGCGUCGGCGGAAGGCAUUGGCGAAUGCGCAGUCCGAUAUCGUUACAGCAGGUGGGAGGUCGAUCUUCACGUCAGACGAUGAACGUUGGGACGACAUGUGGCUCGAUACCUCGGACAACACCGACGAGGAUGAUGAUGGUGAUGAUGGUAGCGACUUGGAGUAG